rnacentral:rRNA from 1 species
CCUACGGGAGGCUGCAGUGGGGAAUAUUGGACAAUGGGGGGAACCCUGAUCCAGCCAUGCCGCGUGUGUGAAGAAGGCCCUCGGGUUGUAAAGCACUUUCAGUGAGGAAGAACGCCUGGUGGUUAAUACCCAUCAGGAAAGACAUCACUCACAGAAGAAGCACCGGCUAACUCCGUGCCAGCAGCCGCGGUAAUACGGAGGGUGCGAGCGUUAAUCGGAAUUACUGGGCGUAAAGCGCGCGUAGGUGGCUUGAGAAGCCGGUUGUGAAAGCCCCGGGCUCAACCUGGGAACGGCAUCCGGAACUGUCAAGCUAGAGUGCAGGAGAGGAAGGUAGAAUUCCCGGUGUAGCGGUGAAAUGCGUAGAGAUCGGGAGGAAUACCAGUGGCGAAGGCGGCCUUCUGGACUGACACUGACACUGAGGUGCGAAAGCGUGGGUAGCAAACAGGAUUAGAUACCCUUGUAGUC